GGUCAGCGACUUAUAUUCUGUAGCAAGGUUAACCGAAUAGGGGAGCCGGAGGGAAACCGAGUCUUAAUUGGGCGUUAAGUUGCAGGGUAUAGACCCGAAACCCGGUGAUCUAGCCAUGGGCAGGUUGAAGGUUGGGUAACACUAACUGGAGGACCGAACCGACUAAUGUUGAAAAAUUAGCGGAUGACCUGUGGCUGGGGGUGAAAGGCCAAUCAAACCGGGAGAUAGCUGGUUCUCCCCGAAAGCUAUUUAGGUAGCGCCUCGUGAAUUCAUCUCCGGGGGUAGAGCACUGUUUCGGCUAGGGGGCCAUCCCGGCUUACCAACCCGAUGCAAACUGCGAAUACCGGAGAAUGUUAUCACGGGAGACACACGGCGGGUGCUAACGUCCGUCGUGAAGAGGGAAACAACCCAGACCGCCAGCUAAGGUCCCAAAGUCAUAGUUAAGUGGGAAACGAUGUGGGAAGGCCCAGACAGCCAGGAUGUUGGCUUAGAAGCAGCCAUCAUUUAAAGAAAGCGUAAUAGCUCACUGGUCGAGUCGGCCUGCGCGGAAGAUGUAACGGGGCUAAACUAUGCACCGAAGCUGCGGCAGCGACACUAUGUGUUGUUGGGUAGGGGAGCGUUCUGUAAGCCUGUGAAGGUGUGUCGUGAGGCAUGCUGGAGGUAUCAGAAGUGCGAAUGCUGACAUAAGUAACGAUAAAGCGGGUGAAAAGCCCGCUCGCCGGAAGACCAAGGGUUCCUGUCCAACGUUAAUCGGGGCAGGGUGAGUCGACCCCUAAGGCGAGGCCGAAAGGCGUAGUCGAUGGGAAACGGGUUAAUAUUCCCGUACUUGGUGUUACUGCGAAGGGGGGACGGAGAAGGCUAUGUUGGCCGGGCGACGGUUGUCCCGGUUUAAGCGUGUAGGUGUGUGUUCCAGGUAAAUCCGGUU
rnacentral:rRNA from 1 species